UCGACGGGUAUUUGCAAAGGCGACAAAAUUAUUUGUAUUUGUCUGAAGAAGAAUGUAUUUACCUUCCCAGUCCCAGAACCAAUCAUGUCAAUUUGUGGCUCAAACCACCACAGUUUGUGUACAGUACAGGCCACCCUCCUUGGCCCUGAGAUGCAAGUCCAUAAUGUGAGCCAGUUUGAAGAUGGACCUUCUGAUGCAAGAGUUGGGACUUAACCAGGAAAAAUUGAUUUGACCUGAUCUGGAAUUCAUCAUGCUCAGUCUUCCUUGGUUUCUCCUCCCACUGUGGAUGUUGGCACAUGUGAAGCCAGUUAGGAGAGGCGAUUAGUGAUGCGUCUACUACCUGCAAGUCUCUUCCACAGGAGAGCUGGGCUAAGCUUACAGAGAGAAUUAUUUUGGGGCCAAGCUGUGGAGCAAUGAAGAUGACAAGGCUUGAGAAAAAUCUCCUGUUGAAUCUGGAGCUCACCAGUUUGGCAAAACUGGCUGGCCACUGAGUGCCCAGGAUCUCCUAUCUCUGCCCCCAGCUCUGGGGUUGCAGAUACCCAUCAUCACAUGCGGAUUCUACGUGGGUGCUAGGGAUUUGAACUCAGGUCAUCAUGCUUGCAUGGCAAGCUCUUCACUGACUAAGCCCUCUCCCCAACUUAAGUGAAAACCCCCCAUUAAGCCAAGAAACAGGAAGAUCUCAAACUGAAAACAGAAAGACAGUUGAUACAAACAUGGCCAG